CAAAAAAUAGUUUAACUUAGAAUAUUAGCUUUGGGAGUUAUUGGUGGGGGUUAGAAUCCCCCUUUUUUGA
rnacentral:tRNA from 1 species